ensembl:lncRNA
AGAUUUAAGGGCUAAAAUAUACCUCCCAGGAGACAUUCUGGCUGCUGGGAGUGUGCAGAAGUGUUCAGAAAGGGUCCCGGGAAACCAGGAGCCAGGGUCACCACAUUGCUGGAUCCAGAGUGACUUUGCAUAACCUCAGAAGAGGUCAGCUCCCCUGGUUCUUAGGCCUUUGGACUCAGACUAGAAUUGCACUGCAGGCUUUCCUGGGUCUGUAGCUUGCUGAUGACAGAUUGUGGGACUUCUCAGCCUUCAUAAUCAUGGAUCCACUUGUGUGUGGUUUUGCACCUACAUGCCAUCCUGACCCCGAAAUCAGAAAAGAAGAGAGACGAUAUAAAGGAUAUUUGUAUCAAAUCACUGGAGUGCCUCAGGGCAUGAGAAAGUUUUUGUGCUGAUUCAUUGUUACUUUAAAAAAUGCCUCAUUAUUGCAGCAAAUGCCACAUCUGAGCUCUUUCUUGUAUUAAAGAUGCAGAACACUUUCUUGAAGAAAUACAAAGAAAUCUUGUGCAUUUCUAUAUGUUGCAAUGUUUCCAUGAGU